UUGUGACGUAACGGCCAUUGUGAAUUAUUCGUCACACUCUGGGACUUUUUAUUUCGAAGUGUUAAUAACUGUUAUGCUAUAUCUCAUAAAAACAUUUCGUGAAAUAAGUACAUCACGAAUGAUAAAUUAUUGUACAUAGUAAAAGCAUGAUUUUAUUUAACGCAAAAUGAAUUGCUUUGCUUGGUACGAUAGCUACCAGCAAUAUCGAUACCACCUCGUCAGCUGUCAUCUUUUGUCAGUGUGGAGAAGUGGAGAAACUUUGAAGCUGUAUCGCGUUGCAAAUCUGCUGAAUUGUUUGUGUUUUGACAUGCUCGCAAUUGCAUAUGCAGUGGCGUUAAUAACGUUGUUAGAAGAUUUGAAGACUGGAUAAUGGAACAUUUUAAUUAGUUUUCGGGAAGGAAACCCAAAACGCCAUCCGAAAUGUUCUUACUACCUCAUAAUGAAAUUAACACCGCAACGGCUGUCUGCAGGUGCAUUUCAAAGUUGGAAAGUGAAGAGAAUAUUGUGUUUAUGCGAGAAUUACCUGGAGCAAAUGUGGUGCUGAUAAAUGUAGUCUAUCUAGCACCAGGUAGUAACCGUUAUAUGUGUCUCUUACGUUCGGUGUACAAGAACGUCAUUGACGGCGAAUCUAAUAACAACAAUGAAAGUAAUAAUAACGAUUGUUGCGAAGCCGAAGAGAAGAGGCAUUGUUAUGCCCUAAAUAGAUAGUAACAUUAUCAAGAGAUUAACCGCGACGCCUGGUUAGAACUGAUGGAACUAUGAUUCUGCAGUAAAAGCCCUCCGUCUUGUCCCAGUGUUCCGAGGAUUGAACGAAGACAGCAGCAGUGAGAGAAUCAACUGCGACAGUCAAACUACAGAGGUGGUUUCAUCUGAGGACAUGGGACAAAUGUACAUAAGUCAGUCAAGGAAAGAACGUGCCAGAUAGAAAGUUAUUGGUUGAUUCUCAGUUAAUGUGGAUUUCGUUAGUGUGUUUUUCAUAGACUUAUAGUAAGAUUAGCUGUAUACAGCAGAAAUGUAUACAAAGUGUAAUUACACAUACAAAUGCCAUUUGUAUGCUGUUAGUAUAUGCACGUAGUGAUAGUUUACCUUGAAGUUUGUAUGCAGUUGUGAACUGAUGCCCGUCCUCGAAAUGAAUCACCUGGGAAAUUUUCUUAAAAAGUGACGCCAAAUUGCACCUCCCGUAUGUUCACUUCCCGUGCCCUCUUAAGUGUUACUGUCAAGUAAUAGGAGACAAGAAUGCCUUGGCCAUGAUUUUUAUUAAUAGGGGUUCUUUGCUGAUGAUAUCUUACAUUGAAGUCCCAGACCCUUCAGAUAGAUCUUUUUGAUAGGCAAUUGAGCAAUGUGUUAAAAUUUGGUAACAUUUUUACGAAUCUCCUUGUAAUGUACUGUAAAUUAUAAUUCCACAGAGGCAGUUGGACAAAAUAUUUGAUACAAGUAUCUUUAAAAUUGUGCCAUACCUUACACAGAGAAGCGAAAGUUGUACUGUAAUAUCUCGAAGUGUUCAUUGGAAUCUUUUUUACGAUCCUAAUGUACAGGGCUGCCCAUUCAGAUAGUUACCCAGAUAGUGUAGAGUUGUUAUUCAGUUGGUUUGUUUCAAGUUGGUUUCCUCCUCCCUAUUAUCCAAUCUCACUUCCACCUGUCAAAAUAGUGUUUGUCUAUGGAAGUUUUAUUGAGGCUCUGUAUAUGUUGUACAGAAGCCAUCUUUUAGCAACUGAAAAAGCAAUACAUUUCUUUUUGUAUUGUGUAUUUAGUUGUCCAUUGAAUCUUUUGUUUACAACUGAUAUGCUAUGUGAUGUUGGGAAUAUGAAGAAUUAAAUGCUUUUGUGACUGUAGAAUCAUAUAAUUAGUUACAUGUAAAGUAAAUUAAUAAUCGAGUAUUUUUAAAUUGUCUUUCCAAUUGGCUAAGGUCAAAGCAUAUGCUUAUAGGCUGCACAAACUCUGUAUGAUUCUUAUUGUUUGCUUUUACUAUAAUUCCCUUAAAUACCCACCUUUUUAAUAUAUCUUAGUUGAUUGCUAAGUAACUCAUCCUUACAUUAAUUAACUAUAUAUACAUAUUUCCUAGUUCAGAAACUUUAACUCUAUUGAUGACUUUGUUUACCAGUGUGUGUGUGUUUCUUUUUGACAGAAGCUAGUUUCAUUUGUGAAAGAGGAUGGGAUUUUGAGCUAAAUCUGCAUUGACCUGUGCAGCAGUUACAAACAAUUCAUUGUAUGGAAGAGAGCGGUCGUUGCAGUUCAUAUGAAGUUUGGUUUGUGCAGUUUUUUUCUCUCCUUUCGUGAUCCUCAAAUACAAGCAUUAUGCUUGAUGUGUCCAAGAGAGUAACACGUAUACUUCACGUAGGUGAAGUGUAUAAUUUUUCAGAUACUACUUAUACCAGAAAUGUUCCAGGUUUCGAAUUAUGUAACACAUUGCCAGUGAAUACUUCAGGCAUUUCCAUUCUACUUAUUACAUAAUCUAGAGUGCCUGUAAUUUUACAGAACACUGUGAACAACUUUUCUCAAUUGUUCUUGUUUUGUAAACCCAGUUCAUAGCCCUAUCAUCUCAAUGGAAAACAAUUUUGGUCAUUUGAUGUUACCAAAAUGCCUUUAUUUUCCUUUUUUCAGAUACUGUUCAGUUUUGUUGCCUAGUUGCAUUUUCAUGAAAGGUUGUAAAGUUCUGGUUGUCUUUUUGUAAAUGAUGUAUAUGGUUUUUUGCCUGGUCUUCCAGUAGCAAAUGAAUUUUGUCUUUUCAUUUUUUAUUAUUUGCUGUAGACUGCACAGCAGUAUUUCUUUUGUUGCUGGUUCGUGCACUUUGCAGUUGACAAAAGCCACUGGAUUAGAAUGUUUUCUUCAUCCUCAGGGAGUAUAACAAGAGGGCUACAGUUAAGCAAUGUGAAAUUUUUGCUGCCUACCAUGUAAUACAAUUCCACCUUUGACAUCCCAAGUCUGUGUGGCUGCCUUAGCUAUUGGAAUACCUUCCUCGGCAGCUUCUGUGACUAUUGUCAUUUAUAUCUGGAAUGAGAUGCUCCAGUUAUUGACAACCAGUUGUUCCAGAGAUUGGCAUGAAAAUCCACGGAAAUAAAAUUCCUAAAUAGAAAUUAAUAAUGUAAUUAAUUUUGGUCACUGAUUUGUUUUGUACUUCAUGUAGAAUUGAGACUAUGGUGCCAGUCAUUAACAGGGUUGUCAAAGACUGAAAUACCCAUCAUUAAAAUUGACAGCUCAGUUUGAUCUUAUUUUUAACAUUUUGUUUUACAUCCUACGGUAUCAUGGAUCAGUCCGAUAUAAUAUUAGUACUGAAUUUAACUUGUGAGUAUUAAAUGUAAUGCAUUAAAGAAGAGCCUUACUACAACUUUGUCUUGUUGUGAGAACAUCAACAAUCACUUCACAAUUCAUUUGCGCUCCAUAAGAUAGGCUACAAUGUUAUCAUACAGUAAGAGAUAAAGUUCCAUUGCCUGUACCAUAGAGAAUGGUCUUUACUUUUCUUAUUAUGUAACAAAAUUGAGAGACCAUAAGUGUUAGACUGGAGCACUUUUCAAGAGUGGAACUUAUGCUUUAUUGAUGUUUGUAUUAAUUUCUGUAUUACAUUAUCUGUUUUAGAAAAUUAAUACAAAUGUUUUAUUUCAUUUAUACUGCAUGAAGUUCAUUUUACAAAAUUUGAAGUAUUUUCAACUAUAUUCCAUCUGAUCAGUACCUGAUUAGUAUUGCAACAAUAUUUAUUCCACUUAGUGUCAUCCACAAAAGAGGUGGCCACUAGUGUAGACUUCUGUAAUGCACCAUAUUUAAUGAGUAGUACAUAUAUUGUUUGUUAUUGUCAUAAAAUUGCACAGCAGCCAAUUACUUCCGUCCACUAAAGUAUAAUCUGAGCCACCAAUUGAGCAUAUUUAUGACUAGUGCUAAUAAAGUUUGUGCAGUAAUGAUUUUAGAAUUAUGACACCAGAAGUUCAGGCAUGUUAAGGCAGGUACCACUUACAUCUCCAGAAUUUAAAAACUGUAUUUUGUGUAAACCAGUUCCUCUUAAAAUAAUGUUGUACACAGGAUAUGAGAGCCUGCUGAAAUCUCAGUGGAAUUUCUUUAUUGUAUUCUACAAUUUAUAAGUGUCCAAGCAGUUUGGAAAAGAUGUAUAUAAUUUAUUUCUUAUUUUACCCAUUUCAUUUAUUGUGGUUUGAGCUUCACAUGUAAGAAAUUAAACCUGCGUACAAAAGGACUCUGACUAUUUCGAAACAAAGUGUCAGAGCAGUAACGUCUACAUGCCCCUUUCAUAGCAUUCAGUUUUUCUCUUUUAAAUAUGUUUCCGAAGAUCGUGCUGUCUUUCCACUGAAAUGCGGGCAGCAUCUUACAGUACCUCAAAUUUUUUUGUAAAGGUUUCUUCUUCAUAGAUGUAGCUUCUUUUUUGAGCUGGUUAUGUGAGAAGGGUUUAACAAAGUGUUUAAUGCUGUUUUGCCAGCUCGAGCCAGACUGUCAGCUUUGAAUCUAACAUAAAUGUCUGGCUACACUGCAGAUCAGUUCACCACCACUACUAAGAUUUCUUAUUCAUGUUUCUUGGCUUCGCCAAUUCACAACCAAACUUCCACUGGAACCUACAUUCCUGUACAUAAUGCCGAUGCAAAACAAAUAUUAAAUAAUGUCAGCAUACCAGUGUCUCUGCAUGCACACACACCACCACAUGAAACACUGCUUUUUUGGGUGAGUCUGUAGGUGCCUGUUCCUUUUCUGGCCCUCAAUAAUCUUCAGUUCUUGGUGAGGAAUGUCUGGCAUGUACAAGUUAUUGUUUCUUGUUCCUAUUUUCUGUUGCACAUGAGAAUGGCAAGAGGAUUUCAUCAAUAUCUUUACAUGCACUGCCACUAGUGCUUUGGUUUUUGUUUCACAUUAUCACUGUGUUACAGCUAUUACAUACCCAUUUAAUAAAACUGUAUUUCUUCCCAUGGUAACUGUGUUGCAUAUGUUGGCAGCCUUUUGUAUUUUGCUCCAGUGGCUGUCACACAUUACCUCCUCCUUUGUUCCAUAAUAUUGUUACUUAUUAUUUGUGUUAGUGACAUUUAUGUUGAGAAUAGAGAAUAUCAGUGUUCCAUAUGAAUUUUUGUGCCUUUUGGACAGUUAUUUUUGCUGAAUAUUUGGUUACUAGCAUAUAAAUUAUUUGUAUUACUUGUAUUUAUAAAAUACUUGUUUGUGUAUUACUUUGUUAAUAGAAACAUUAUUCUUCACCUGAUACACUGUCGGUUCUCAAUACAAACUUUUCAGCUUCCUCAGUCAGUUAUUGUGUAUUUACAGCUUGUAUAAGAAGGAAGAAUGGCAUGCAUGCACAACUUUAAUUUCAGUUCACAAAUAUUGUAAGAAUACUUUAUGUAUUCAGAACUGUCAUGCCCACAUUAAUGGCACAUAACAUCAUUGUACAUACAAUAUACGUGUCCAAAGUGAUUUCAUAACUGAGUAGCACAGCACAAGUCAAUUGCUUUGUUGUGCCCACUGAACAGAACACACAUUUGCGUACUACUUAUGCUACCGACUGCACCCAGACCCUGACCACCAUUUGUAUCUGUGUAUGGUCAUGUAGAAUGAGAUUCCUGCCAUUAAGUCAGACAUAUCUGAUUGCUCUACAGUUAAUUUUUCAUAGCUAAACUUAAAUUUGUGUUGACCUUAAUGAAUAUAUCAGCCGACCUUAAUGAAUAUAUCAGCCUGGAUAGUAAGUUAUUCUGUAUUUAUCACAAGAAAAUCACUUACUGUUAGUAGUGUAUCAUAAGACUGUUUGUUCUGUCUCUAUAGUAGUAGUGUUUAAUGUGUAAAUUGUUUCUAAGUUUCAUAGAAGGUUGUAUUUUCUUAAUAAAUUUUUUGAAAACUA